UACGGGGGGUGCGAGCGUUGUCCGGAAUCACUGGGCGUAAAGGGCGCGUAGGUGGCGUGAUAAGGGUGUGGUGAAAGCCCGGGGCUCAACCCCGGGUCUGCCAUGCCGACUGUCAGGCUAGAGUACUGUAGGGGCAGGCGGAAUUCCGGGUGUAGCGGUGGAAUGCGUAGAGAUCCGGAGGAAGACCGGUGGCGAAGGCGGCCUGCUGGGCAGUUACUGACACUGAGGAACGAAAGCCAGGGGAGCAAACGGG
rnacentral:rRNA from 1 species